rnacentral:rRNA from 1 species
ACUCGAGCGGCGAACGGGUGAGUAACACGUGAGUAAUCUGCCCUGCGCUCUGGGAUAGCCACCGGAAACGGUGAUUAAUACCGGAUAGGACCACUUCACGCAUGUGAUGGUGGUGGAAAGUUUUUUCGGCGCAGGAUGUGCUCGCGGCCUAUCAGCUUGUUGGUGAGGUAACGGCUCACCAAGGCUUUGACGGGUAACCGGCCUGAGAGGGUGACCGGUCACACUGGGACUGAGACACGGCCCAGACUCCUACGGGAGGCAGCAGUGGGGAAUAUUGGACAAUGGGCGGAAGCCUGAUCCAGCAACGCCGCGUGAGGGAUGACGGCCUUCGGGUUGUAAACCUCUUUCAGUACUGACGAAGCGAAAGUGACGGUAGGUACAGAAGAAGGACCGGCCAACUACGUGCCAGCAGCCGCGGUAAUACGUAGGGUCCGAGCGUUGUCCGGAAUUAUUGGGCGUAAAGGGCUCGUAGGCGGUUUGUCGCGUCGGGAGUGAAAACACCGGGCUUAACUCGGUGCUUGCUUUCGAUACGGGCAGACUAGAGGUAUGCAGGGGAGAAUGGAAUUCCUGGUGUAGCGGUGAA